GCCCAGAUGGCGGAAUUGGUAGACGCGCUAGAUUCAGGUUCUAGUCCGGGUUACCGGGUGGAGGUUCAAGUCCUCUUCUGGGCA
rnacentral:tRNA from 1 species